rnacentral:rRNA from 1 species
AGAGUUUGAUCAUGGCUCAGAAUCAACGCUGGCGGCGCGCUAACACAUGCAAGUCGAACGAGAAAGUGGAGCAAUCCAUGAGUACAGUGGCGUACGGGUGAGUAACACGUGGGUAAUCUACCUCUUAGUGGGGAAUAACCAGGGGAAACUCUGGCUAAUACCGCAUAAGCCUGAGAAGGGAAAGCAGCAAUGCGCUGAGAGAGGAGCCCGCGGCCGAUUAGCUAGUUGGUGGGGUGAGAGCCCACCAAGGCAGAGAUCGGUAGCCGGCCUGAGAGGNNNCACGNNCACACUGGCACUGAAACACGGGCCAGACUCCUACGGGAGGCAGCAGUGGGGAAUCUUGCACAAUGGGGGAAACCCUGAUGCAGCGACGCCGCGUGAGCGAUGAAGCCUUCGGGGUGUAAAGCUCUUUCGUCAGGGACGAUAAUGACGGUACCUGGAGAAGCAGCUGCGGCUAACUACGUGCCAGCAGCCGCGGUAAUACGUAGGCAGCAAGCGUUGUUCGGAGUUACUGGGCGUAAAGGGUGUGUAGGCGGUUCUUUAAGUUUGGUGUGAAAUCUCCCGGCUCAACUGGGAGGGUGCGCCGAAUACUGAGGGACUAGAGUACGGGAGAGGAAAGUGGAAUUCCUGGUGUAGCGGUGAAAUGCGUAGAUAUCAGGAGGAACACCGGUGGUGUAGACGGCUUUCUGGACCGUAACUGACGCUGAGACACGAAAGCGUGGGUAGCAAACAGGAUUAGAUACCCUAGUAGUCC